GUGCUCCCUUCAGCAGCACAUACACUAAAGUUGGAACAAUACAGAGAGGAUUAGCAUGGUCCCUGUACGUGGAUGACACGCAAAUUUAUGAAGUAUUCCAUAUUUUU
ensembl:snRNA U6 U6 spliceosomal RNA